rnacentral:rRNA from 1 species
CUCCGGUUGAUCCCGCCGGACCCGACUGCUAUCAGAGUGGGACUAAGCCAUGCGAGUCAACAUAGCAAUAUGUGGCAUACGGCUCAGUAACACGUAGUCAACAUGCCCAGGGGACGUGGAUAACCUCGGGAAACUGAGGAUAAACCACGAUAGGUCAUCACUUCUGGAAUGGGUAAUGACUUAAAUCUAUAUGGCCCCUGGAUUGGACUGCGGCCGAUCAGGCUGUUGGUGAGGUAAUGGCCCACCAAACCUGUAACCGGUACGGGCUCUGAGAGGAGGAGCCCGGAGAUGGGCACUGAGACAAGGGCCCAGGCCCUAUGGGGCGCAGCAGGCGCGAAACCUCUGCAAUAGGCGAAAGCUUGACAGGGUUACUCUGAGUGAUUUCCGUUAAGGAGAUCUUUUGGCACCUCUAAAAAUGGUGCAGAAUAAGGGGUGGGCAAGUCUGGUGUCAGCCGCCGCGGUAAUACCAGCACCCCGAGUGGUCGGGACGUUUAUUGGGCCUAAAGCAUCCGUAGCCGGUUCUACAAGUCUUCCGUUAAAUCCACCUGCUUAACAGAUGGGCUGCGGAAGAUACUAUAGAGCUAGGAGGCGGGAGAGGCAAGCGGUACUCGAUGGGUAGGGGUAAAAUCCGUUGAUCCAUUGAAGACCACCAGUGGCGAAGGCGGCUUGCCAGAACGCGCUCGACGGUGAGGGAUGAAAGCUGGGGGAGCAAACCGGAUUAGAUACCCGGGUAGUCCCAGCUGUAAACGAUGCAGACUCGGUGAUGAGUUGGCUUAUUGCUAACUCAGUGCCGCAGGGAAGCCGUUAAGUUUGCCGCCUGGGGAGUACGGUCGCAAGACUGAAACUUAAAGGAAUUGGCGGGGGAGCA